CUUAAAAGUAUUUUUAAAAAAUGUAUGGUUAUGAGUGUACUGAGCAUAUACAGACUUUUUUUUCCCCUUGCCAUUAUUCCCUAAACAAUAUAGUAUAACAACUAUUUACAGAAGAGUUAUAUUGUAUUAGGUUUUAUAAAUAAUCUGGAGAUGAUAUAAAGUAUAUGAAAGGAUGUGCAUAGAAUAUAAAAAUGCUGU